rnacentral:lncRNA from 1 species
UGUAAGGAGAUUUUCCCAGGGGAAGUAAGCUUGAGCUGAGGCUUGAAGGAUGCAAGGAAAGUCUGCUGGGAACAAAAGACAUGGGAAGGCUCUCCAAGCUGAUGGAACACCAUGGGUAAAAGCAUGGCGGGGCUGGGGGGAGAGGGCAGGUGAGGGAAAUUGUGAUGGACGUUGGGAAUGGAAGUAAUCCUGCCUGGACCCCAGGCUGUGUAUGGAGCUGUGAUGGGAGAUGAGGUCAGAUAGGAAUAAGAAUUGCUAACAUUUAUUGAGCACCUGCUGUUUUCCAGGCGCUAUUCUAACAGCUUUGUAUGUUUUGAGUUAAUUGUUACAACAGCCCUAUGAAGUGGGUAUUAAUAUGACCCCUAUUUUACAGAUUCACAGGGAGAUCAAGUAUCUUGCCCAAGGGCACAUAGCUAGAGAGUGGAGAAGCCAGGGUUCCACCCAGACAGUAUGACUCCAAGAAUGUGCUCUUAAUGGCUACGCCAGGCUGCUGCUCUGAUGGCCUCAGAUUCUUCAAACUCCCCACUCCUUGUCCGGUUAAAUCAAAAGGACGCUCCUGUGUGCCCAGGAUUUUCAUAAUAUCUAUGCUAUUUCUUUUGAGGGUGAUCAAAAUUUCACUGUGUUGGACUCAAGACUCAGAAAAGAGCACAGUAGAAAUCGAGGAGUGUGUUUUCUGUUUGGUCAGCAAGGCAGGCAAGGCCUUAUGUACUCUGUCCAUCAACACUGAUAAGCUGUGACACCAGGAGGCUAGGAAGAUGUCCAGCUGUUCCACCUACGCUGCAUCACAGAGCUCCAUGAGCCCUUUCAGGAAGCGGAGCCCAAACAGAGAAAGACGAGUGAGUGCCAUGAACACAAAUAAUCUUCGGCUCAAAUGGAGUUUCCUGAAUUCUUUGGUAUUCCAUAUAUUUUGAACUUCAAGAGACCUUCAUUUUCUGGGUUUCUUCCUUGUAGCUCAAGAGCACGUGUUUUAAUUCUCUCAGUCGGCACAGCUUCUUAUAAAGGCCUUCCUCAAAAAGAGUCAACAGGUUAAGAAAACUAGUCAAAACUAGAACAAGAUAAUAAUAGUUUUCUAAGAAAUAAAAAUUUUCCUUUGAUUUCUUAAGUAUAUUUG